rnacentral:rRNA from 1 species
GACGAACGCUGGCGGCGUGCUUAACACAUGCAAGUCGAACGGAAAGGCCCUGCUUUUGUGGUGUGCUCGAGUGGCGAACGGGUGAGUAACACGUGAGUAACCUGCCCUUGACUUUGGGAUAACUUCAGGAAACUGGGGCUAAUACCGGAUAGGAGCUCCUGCUGCAUGGUGGGGGUGGGAAAGUUUCGGCGGUUGGGGAUGGACUCGCGGCUUAUCAGCUUGUUGGUGGGGUAGUGGCUUACCAAGGCUGUGACGGGUAGCCGGCCUGAGAGGGGGACCGGCCACAUUGGGACUGCGGUACGGAGCAGACUCCUACGGGAGGCAGCAGUGGGGAAUAUUGCACAAUGGGCGGAAGUCUGAGGCAGCAACGCCGCGUGCGUGAUGACGGCCUUCGGGUUGUAAACCGCUUUCGCCUGUGACGAAGCGUGAGUGGCGGUAAUGGGUAAAGAAGCACCGGCUAACUACGUG